UGUGGAAGGCUGCAGGUUUUCAUGUGU
rnacentral:piRNA from 1 species